GAUGAACGCUGGCGGCGUGCUUAACACAUGCAAGUCGAACGGAAAGGCCCAAGCUUGCUUGGGUUCUCGAGUGGCGAACGGGUGAGUAACACGUGGGUGAUCUGCCCUGCACUUCGGGAUAAGCCUGGGAAACUGGGACUAAUACCGGAUAGGACCACAUUUUGGAUGGGGUGGUGGAAAGUUUUUCGGUGUGGGAUGAGCUCGCGGCGUAUCAGCUUGUUGGUGGGGUAAUGGCGUACCAAGGCGCCGACGGGUAGCCGGCCUGAGAGGGUGUACGGCCACAUUAGGACUGUGAGGCGGGCCAGAGUCCUGCAGGAGGCAGCAGUGGGGAAUGUUGCACAAUGGGCGCAAGCCUGAGGCAGCGACGCCGUGUGGGGGAUGACGGCCUUCGGGUUGUAAGCUCCUUUCGCUAGGGACGAAGCGUUUUUGUGACGGUACCUGGAGAAGAAGCACCGGCUAACUACGUG
rnacentral:rRNA from 1 species